UACCACGUCCCCUAUGGCAAGAUCCGCAACAUCCUGCUGCACAGACAAAGAACUUCCUUUAUCGGUACGCAAACAAGGUGUGUUCUGAAUUCCAAGCUGGAAUUCAGAAUUUGAUUUUUCCACAGCAACCAUCCUAGACGUGCUAGGCUCCCAGGAUGCCCACCCAGCCUGCAUGCUUAAAAUGCCUUGAAACCUUCCUAAGAGGACACGCAUCUAAGGUCACUCAGCAGGUCUGUGCUCGGGCCCCAGCUAAGGACAAGGAGAGGCAAAGGCGCUACUGGAAACAUAGAUAUUUUGCAGCCACUGGCUACCCGAUCCAAUGAAACUGGAACAAAGUUCUCUUCUAUUAUUCAUGGAAUGGCAGAGGUCUAUGUUGAUAGAGUACUAAACUCUUCGGGGAAGAGAGCGCCUAUCUUAGACAUUCCUUAGUGUGUUUACUCAUUCACCUUCAUUGCACCCCCAUCCUGUGUGUCACAACCAUCGCCUACAGUAGUAAAGCUACCGUUUAUAGAUGGUGCUUCACGAAGACCAGCAUCAACAGAUCUCAGUCCUUAAGCGGCAGGAGUGUGCCAUGUGGUAGAGCACACUUAGGAAGGGGAUGCUCCUAACCCAAAACUGCUAGCAGCCUCCAAACAUAAUUUGAACUCUGCCAACUUUCUGUCUUCCUGUCAUCGUCUGAAGCUAUUUCUGCCAUUAAAAUACAUGCUUUGUUGAUA